rnacentral:rRNA from 1 species
GACGAACGCUGGCGGCGUGCUUAACACAUGCAAGUCGAACGGAAAGGCCCUGCUUUUGUGGGGUGCUCGAGUGGCGAACGGGUGAGUAACACGUGAGUAACCUGCCCUUGACUUUGGGAUAACUUCAGGAAACUGGGGCUAAUACCGGAUAGGAGCUCCUGCUGCAUGGUGGGGGUUGGAAAGUUUCGGCGGUUGGGGAUGGACGCGCGGCUUAUCAGCUUGUUGGUGGGGUAGUGGCUUACCAAGGCUUUGACGGGUAGCCGGCCUGAGAGGGUGACCGGCCACAUUGGGACUGAGAUACGGCCCAGACUCCUACGGGAGGCAGAAGUGGGAAAUAUUGCACAAUGGGCGGAAGCCUGAUGCAGCAACGCCGCGUGCGGGAUGACGGCCUUCGGGUUGUAAACCGCUUUCGCCUGUGACGAAGCGUGAGUGACGGUAAUGGGUAAAGAAGCACCGGCUAACUACGUG